UCGUAGCAUAAAAAAUUGUUUGAGAUCACUGAAUCUUCCGCAUAGGCCGUCCGAUGAAGUAUUGCGAAAUGCGUUGAUCGAAAUCGAGAACACGAUAAACUCAAGACCGCUUACACACAUUCCUAUUGAAGAUGAGUCAGCCCCAGUUCUAACCCCCAACCACAUCCUUCUUGGGAGUUCUAAUGGAGUUAAACCGCUUACGGCACUCAACGAUACUAGCACCAUCGUGCGGCAAUGCUGGCGUUCUUCCCAAAUUAUUGCCAACCAAUUUUGGAGACGCUGGAUAUUGCAGUAUUUACCAGAAAUAACAAGGAGAACGAAGUGGUAUUCCCACACAGCGCGACCAGUGAAAGUCGGUGACAUAGUUGUUAUCGUGGAUCAAACACUUCCUCGCAAUUGCUGGCCAAAGGGUCGGAUAAUAGCAGUUCGUCCAAGUAAAGAUGGAGAAGUAAGAUCAGCAACAGUUCGUACGAUUGCUGGUAUAUACGAAAGGCCGGUGGUCAAGCUAGCAGUACUGGACGUCGAGCGCGAAGUGGAGUAGCAGUCUGAGGAGUCAGCGUACCUGGGGGGAGUGUUGGCGAGGCAGCUUGCUGCCAGCGCGCAUCUAUGCAUUCAGUAAGCUUAUCCACAAACACAACCGACGAAGAGCUGCUAUAGGUAAUGUAAAAGUUUGCAACGUCAAUUAGCGAAGUAAGGAUAUAUAAACAAAAUCGAGAAGUCGCCUUAAAAUCUAAAAGCUAAACUAAAUUACAAUUGUUUCUAUUCUAAACUAAAAAUAAUUAUUAUAAAGUUGGGAAGUUCUUAUUACUACAGUGGUUUAUAUUAGCUAGAUUCCCAACAUAAAUUGUUUCGAGCCUAACCCUAAUUCCCAUCUAACGUAAAAAGCGCACAAUCACGAAAUCGACAGAAAGCUACGAACGACCACAUAAGGGACUAAACGUAAGUCAACUAAUCUAAGAACAAACUAUGAAUCUUAUGAAAGCACUGAUUGUAUAACAUAAACUUAUAUCUAUUAUUACACUACAUAAAUGAAUUAUGAGUAAAUUAUGCUAUUACAAUUAUGUAUAACGUUACCUUUGCCAGGAAAAUUAUAAUUCAGCCGUUGAACAACACCCAGUCUCGUGUU